GACGAACCGUGCAAACGUUGUUCGGAAUCACUGGGCGUAAAGGGUGCGUAGGCGGGUCUUUAAGUCAGGGGUGAAAUCCUGGAGCUCAACUCCAGAACUGCCUUUGAUACUGGGGAUCUUGAGUUCGGGAGAGGUGAGUGGAACUGCGAGUGUAGAGGUGAAAUUCGUAGAUAUUCGCAAGAACACCAGUGGCGAAGGCGGCUCACUGGCCCGAUACUGACGCUGAGGCACGAAAGCGUGGGGAGCAAACAGG
rnacentral:rRNA from 1 species